UACAGAGGGGGCAAGCGUUGUUCGGAAUUACUGGGCGUAAAGGGCGCGUAGGCGGCCCGCUAAGUCGAACGUGAAAUCCCUGGGCUCAACCCAGGAACUGCGUCCGAUACUGGCAGGCUUGAAUCCGGGAGAGGGAUGUGGAAUUCCAGGUGUAGCGGUGAAAUGCGUAGAUAUCUGGAGGAACACCGGUGGCGAAGGCGGCAUCCUGGACCGGUACUGACGCUGAGGUGCGAAAGCGUGGGGAGCAAACAGG
rnacentral:rRNA from 1 species